rnacentral:rRNA from 1 species
GGGACUGGAGACACGGCCCGAGGACUCCUUACGGGAGGCCACAUUAGGGAACCCUUCGGCAAUGGACGAAAGUCUGACCGAGCAACCAGCCGCGUGAUGAAGAAGGUUUUCNCGGAUCGUAAAACUCUGUUGUUAGAGAAGACAAGGACGUUAGUAACUGAACGGUCCCCUGACGGUAUCUAACCAGAAAGCCACGGCUAACUACGUGCCAGCAGCCGCGGUAAUACGUAGGUGGCAAGCGUUGUCCGGAUUUAUUGGGCGUAAAGCGAGCGCAGGCGGUUUCUUAAGUCUGAUGUGAAAGCCCCCGGCUCAACCGGGGAGGGUCAUUGGAAACUCGGAGACUUGAGUGCAGAAGAGGAGAGUGGAAUUCCAUGUGUAGCGGUGAAAUGCGUAGAUAUAUGGAGGAACACCAGUGGCGAAGGCGGCUCUCUGGUCUGUAACUGACGCUGAGGCUCGAAAGCGUGGGGAGCAAACAGGAUUAGAUACCCUGGUAGUCCACGCCCCCACCGAUGAGUGCUAAGUGUUGGAGGUUUCCGCCCUUCAGUGCUGCAGCAAACGCAUUAAGCACU